AUGAUAUGAGAGCUUAUGCGUUCGCAAAGAGCAAUCUCUUCCUUAUGCAGACACAGUCCCGAACGCUUCUCUCCUUCCCAAUUCAACUCUCUCCUUCAACUAUGCAGCAAUUCAAAAGCAGCGGCGCAAGUCAAACAAGUUCACCAACAAAUGAUACUACACGGGGCAGCCGAGAAUCCCUUCAUGGUCACCAAACUAGUCCAGUUGUACGCGGACAGCGACGAUUUGGUAAUGGUAGACAAACUGUUCGACAGAUUGCCUGACCCAAAUGUGUAUGCAUGGACUGCCAUUCUAGCAUUUUAUUCGAGGCAUGGAAUGUACAAAGAUUGUGCAAAAGCGUACGGGCAGAUGAAAUCUAAUGCUGUUCUACCUGACAGUUAUGUGUUUCCAAAGAUUUUAAGGGCGUGCGGGCAAGUAGUUUGUUUGGAAGUGGGUGUUCAGGUUCAUAAAGAUGUGAUUGUAUGUGGGUCUGAAUUGAAUUUAGAGGUCUCUAAUUCUUUGAUUGAUAUGUACAUGAAAUGUAAGGAUGUGAGGGGUGCUAGACAGAUUUUUUAUGAGAUGGUGGAGAGGGACUUGUUGUCUUGGAAUUCAAUGAUUUCAGGGCUUGUUUACAAUGGGUUGCUUGAAGAAGCUGUGCAGUACUUUUUUCAUAUGAGAUUAGAUGGGUUUGAGCCUGAUAUUGUUACUCUCAAUAUGACAAUGGAUGCUUACUGCAGACUGGGGCUCUGUGAAGAGGCAUGGAAGACAUUUGAACAGAUUAAGGAGCCUAAUAUCAUCUCAUGGACUACUUUGAUCUCAGGAUAUUCAAGGGUUGGAAAACAUAAAUUAUCAUUGGAAAUCUUUAGGGAUAUGAUGUAUAAGGGAAUGGUCAUCCCUGAUGUAGAUUCUCUUUCUAGUAUUAUUGUUUCCUGCCGUCAUUUGAAUUUUCCUUUAAAUGGAAGAGAAAUUCAUGGUUAUGGGAUUAAGACGAACAUAGGGAUUGUAUUUUACAAAUCAGCAGGUCCUGCCUUGUUACCAAUGUAUGCCAAGUGUGGUAGAUUUCUGGAUGCAGUUAAUACUUUUGAAUCAAUGGACCAAUCUGAUGUUGUUGCUUGGAAUGCAAUGAUUCUUGGUUUUGUUGAUUUGGGGUGCACAAAUAUGGCACUUGAAUACUUUAGCAAAUUGCAGAGAAUGGGUCUCAAGAAUGAUCAGACAACAAUAUCUACUGUUUUGCCUGCGUGUGAUCUGAAAUCUGGUAAGCAAAUUCAUGCCUACAUCAGGAAAUUUUUGUUUGAUUCAGUUGUGGUUUGGAAUGCUCUGAUUAACUUAUACUGCAAAUGUGGACAUAUUGGAUAUGCAUACUGCGUAUUUUCGAACAUGGUCACCAGGGAUUUAGUAUCAUGGAACACAAUGAUUGGAGGGUUUGGAAUGCAUGGGCUUGGCCAGGAUGCCCUUCAGCUUCUAUAUGAGAUGAUUCAUUCAGGGCUUUCUCCUGAUUCUGUGACUAUUACUUCCGUUCUGUCAGCCUGUAGUCACUCAGGUCUUGCGGAUGAGGGGCUCAAAAUUUUUCACAGCAUAAUGAAGGAUCAUGGUAUCACCCCCAGAAUAGAACAUUUCACUUGUAUUGUCGAUAUGCUGGCACGCGCUGGCCGGCUCGAAGAUGCUGUCAAUUUUAUCACCAGAAUGCCUUCAGAGCCUAAUAAGCAUAUAUGGGGGGCUUUAUUAGCUGCCUCCCGUGCCCACCAAAAUGUUAACGUUGGAAUACUUGCUGCUGAACAACUAAUCCAUUUGGAACCUGAAAAUGCUGGACACUAUAUCACACUGUCAAACAUAUAUGCAAGAGCUGGAAGAUGGGAUGAUGCUGUAAGGAUGAGAAAGAAAAUGCAGGACAAGGGACUGGUGAAGCCAUCAGGACAAAGUUGGAUUGAAGGUGGAAACUGAUUCAACAAGAGUAAAAUAGACUACAUCAAGUAAUGUUAUUGAGCUUUCUUCAUCUCCGCUGUACUCUCCUUCUUCUUCUUCUUCACUAUCGUCGUCUUCUUUAUCAUUCGAGAUUAAUUAUUCUUCAGAUUUGAGUCCGGCGACAUUGAAGCGACCGUGGAUCUCCGAUGGGCCCACGACCCCCGUACCAAGGCAGAAAAAAAAAACGGAGACAUCAUUAAUUAAAAGUUAAAACUACAAUUAAUACAAAGCAUCGUCAUCAAACGGAAGUCAAAGUAUAUAGCCAUGUGUUUUGUUCCAUCAAUGACUGCCUCUCCGUGACCCAGUCUUUGUAUUUGCUUGUGACUUCACUCUUCAGAGCUGGAGAAACUUUACUCUCUUCCUAUUACGGCAUCUCUGCGUCUACGUACGAGACCCACCACAAAAACACCCAAAAAAAAAAAAACAGAUAAUACCGACAUGACACAACGACGAUUUACCCUAGAAGAAAUUAAUUCGGUUUUCAUUAAUUGAUUCGAGUUUUAUAGUGAAACCGACUAGGAGGAGCGUUCUGUUGGUCUAAACUCCCAUUGUUUUUCACGAGGCUGUUUGACAAAAAUAGCUCUAGACUCACGCAGUUCAUCCUUGGCUGCUUCUCUUAUCUAUCUUUCUACUGCCUUAGUUUUUGACGAAAGAGUGUUCGUGGCUGAGGAUACGAGGUUGGGAUGAACAGUACUGUUUGAGCUCUAUAUGACUCCUACUUUCGGGUUAUUCUUAGUUUCUGCAACAUCAAUGGCUGAAUUUUUCUAUGACCUCAUCAAGGAUACUCUUAUUGUAAAGCCUUAUAAACACUAACACCAACGUUAAAUUACAAGAUAUCCAAGUAAUUGAUAAGCCUCCUCAUGGUAUCAACCCUGAGCAAUUGGGUAUUCCUCGGGUGCAUUACCCAGAACCACAAACUUUUAGCAGGGACGAAUGUG